rnacentral:rRNA from 1 species
AUUGAACGCUGGCGGCAGGCCUAACACAUGCAAGUCGAACGAGUGGCGGACGGGUGAGUAAUGUCUGGGAAACUGCCUGAUGGAGGGGGAUAACUACUGGAAACGGUAGCUAAUACCGCAUACCAUCGGAUGUGCCCAGAUGGGCUUAGCUAGUGGGUGGGGUAAAGGCUCACCUAGGCCAAGAUCCCUAGCUGGUCUGAGAUGAUGACCAUCAACACGGGCACGGAGAGACGGUCCAGACUCCUACGGGAGGCUGCAGUGGGGAAUAUUGCACAAUGGGCGCAAGCCUGAUGCAGCCAUGCCGCGUGUAUGAAGAAGGCCUUCGGGUUGUAAAGUACUUUCAGCGGGGAGGCGUUACCUGCAGAAGAAGCACCGGCUAACUCCGUGCCAGCAGCCGCGGUAAUAC